UACGGGGGGGGCAAGCGUUGUUCGGAAUUACUGGGCGUAAAGGGCUCGUAGGUGGCCCCAUAAGUCAGACGUGAAAUCCCUCGGCUCAACCGAGGAACUGCGUCUGAGACUGUGGGGCUUGAAUCAGGGAGAGGGAUGCGGAAUUCCAGGUGUAGCGGUGAAAUGCGUAGAUAUCUGGAGGAACACCGGUGGCGAAGGCGGCAUCCUGGACCGGUAUUGACACUGAUGAGCGAAAGCCAGGGGAGCAAACGGG
rnacentral:rRNA from 1 species